rnacentral:rRNA from 1 species
UACGGAGGGUGCGAGCGUUGUCCGGAAUCACUGGGCGUAAAGCGUCCGCAGGUGGCAGUUCAAGUCUGCUGUCAAAGACCGGGGCUUAACUUCGGAAAGGCAGUGGAAACUGAACAGCUAGAGUAUGGUAGGGGCAGAGGGAAUUCCUGGUGUAGCGGUGAAAUGCGUAGAGAUCAGGAAGAACAUCGGUGGCGAAGGCGCUCUGCUGGACCAUAACUGACACUCAGGGACGAAAGCUAGGGGAGCGAAUGGG